AACGAACGCUGGCGGCAUGCCUAACACAUGCAAGUCGAACGAGACCUUCGGGUCUAGUGGCGCACGGGUGCGUAACGCGUGGGAACCUGCACUUAGGUUCGGAAUAACUCUCCGAAAGGGGUGCUAAUACCGGAUAAUGUCUUCGGACCAAAGAUUUAUCGCCUUUGGUUGGGCCCGAGUUGGAUUAGCUAGUUGGUAGGGUAAAAGACUACCAAGGCGACGAUCCAUAGCUGGUCUGUGAGGAUGAUCAGCCACACUGAGACUGAGACACGGCCCAGACUCCUACGGGAUGCAGCAGUGGGGAAUAGUGGACAAUGGGCGGAAGGCUGAUCCAGCAAGGCCGGGUGAGUUAUGAAGGCCUUAGAGUUGUAAAGCUCUUUUACCCGGGAUGAUAAUGACAGUACCGAGAGAAUAAGCUCCGGCUAACUCCGUG
rnacentral:rRNA from 1 species